UGGUGGAGCUAGUAAACUGGCGGACGGGUGAGUAACGCGUAGGUAAGCUGCCUAUAAGCCCUGGAUAAGGUUGCUAACGCGGUGCUAAUACGGGAUGUGGCAUUAUAUAUUAUGUAAAUAAUGUUAAAGCGGGCCUCUCGAAGAAGCUCGUACUUAUAGAUGGACCUGCGUCUCAUUAGCUAGUCGGUGAGGUAACGGCUCACCAAGGCGACGAUGGGUAGCCGGCCUGAGAGGGCGAUCGGCCACACUGGGACUGAGAUACGGCCCAGACUCCUACGGGAGGCAGCAGUGAGGAAUCUUGCGCAAUGGGCGAAAGCCUGACGCAGCAACGCCGCGUGUGGGAAGAAGCUUUUCGGAGUGUAAACCACUGUUAGGAGGGACGAAGGUUAGAUAUUCGAACAGGGUAUUUGAUUGACGGUACCUCCAGAGGAAGCCCCGGCUAACUCCUGUGCCAGCAGCCGCGGUAACACGGGGGGGGCGAGCGUUGUCCGGAAUCAUUGGGCGUAAAGGGCGCGUAGGCGGGAUAAUCAGUCUGUGGUGGAAGCUUGAGGCUUAACCUCAAGUUUGCCUUGGAUACUGUUAUUCUUGAGUACGGGAGAGGGAAGUGGAAUUCCUGGUGUAGCGGUGAAAUGCGUAGAUAUCAGGAAGAACACCGGUGGCGAAGGCGGCUUCCUGGUCCGAAACUGACGCUGAGGCGCGAAAGCGUGGGUAGCGAACAGGAUUAGAUACCCUGGUA
rnacentral:rRNA from 1 species